CCCUUAGAUGUUCUGGGCCGCACGCGCGCUACACUGACUACUUCAACGAGUUGUUUCCUUGAUCGAAAGGUCUGGGUAAUCUUUGAAAGGUAGUCGUGAUGGGGAUAGAUCCUUGCAAUUUUUGAUCUUCAACGAGGAAUUCCUAGUAAACGCAAGUCAUCAGCUUGCAUUGAUUACGUCCCUGCCCUUUGUACACACCGCCCGUCGCACCUACCGAUUGAGUGAUCCGGUGAAUAAUUCGGACUGCAGCACUGCUUGGUCUCCAGGCUUUGCAGCGGAAAGUUUAGUGAACCUUAUCACUUAGAGGAAGGAGAAGUCGUAACA
rnacentral:rRNA from 1 species